GUGGGGAAUUUUGGACAAUGGGCGAAAGCCUGAUCCAGCAAUGCCGCGUGUGUGAAGAAGGCCUUCGGGUUGUAAAGCACUUUUGUCCGGAAAGAAAUCCUUGGCUCUAAUACAGUCGGGGGAUGACGGUACCGGAAGAAUAAGCACCGGCUAACUACGUGCCAGCAGCCGCGGUAAUACGUAGGGUGCGAGCGUUAAUCGGAAUUACUGGGCGUAAAGCGUGCGCAGGCGGUUUGCUAAGACCGAUGUGAAAUCCCCGGGCUCAACCUGGGAACUGCAUUGGUGACUGGCAGGCUAGAGUAUGGCAGAGGGGGGUAGAAUUCCACGUGUAGCAGUGAAAUGCGUAGAGAUGUGGAGGAAUACCGAUGGCGAAGGCAGCCCCCUGGGCCAAUACUGACGCUCAUGCACGAAAGCGUGGGGAGCAA
rnacentral:rRNA from 1 species